CCAACUGACAGCUCUGCGAGCAUGGCCUCAUACUAUUUAGUUAUGCACGGUCUCCGUCUUCGUCAAGGAGGCUGCUGCAUGGAGGAGGAGCAGACGAAGGCCAACCCAGCUGAAGGUGUUCCCGGGAAGGAGGUGCCCCCACAGACAUGAAGAGCCCACACCUUUCCUUCCGCUUCAGCGGCAGCAGCAGAGACCUGCAUCUUGCAGACAAGAAACUGUGGUGGUGAUUUCUUCAUUUGUAUGCUUCUCAUGAUUUGUCAAUCAAUCUUGCUGCAGCGAUGGGUUUGGACUGUGGGUGUUUCCCACAUUAGUGGGGGUUGGUGUUAUCCUCGAGACAACGAAGGGGGAUGGGAGAUGGGUUUCUUCUGUCUUGAGAAACGAGGACAUGGACAUGUACAAGACACCGCACGCCAAACCUCUCUCCUUCGACGACCAAUAAGUGAUGCGUGUCGUGAAAGGCGUAUUUUUCUGUAGAACCUUUUAGCUGCUGCAGUAUGAUUUGAUCGAUCAUGAUAAUGAUAGCAGCAGGCAUUGCUGCUAUCAGCCUAUUGCUAAUGAUUAAGUUAUAUUAAGUAGAUAAAAUCGAUCGAGUUAUAUACAUAUACACAUACGAUCGAUUAGUGUAUAUGUUGUUUGAAUACACCUCUUCUUCAUCCUUGUUAGCUACUGGCUUACGUCAUAGAGAUCGAUCUAAAUAUUUAUGUCGAUUAUAUUACAGAGUACGCAUUCGAAUCCAUCUCAAUAUGCUUUCUUGUUUCAUUUUCUAUCAUAUCACACUUCUUGCGUACACCGGCAUCGCCGACGUCUGCACCCUCCCUCCCUCCUUUGUUUUCUGUUGAAAGACAUCAUUUUCUUGACCGCUACCUCAGCAAUGGCCUCAUCGCCACGUCUUCAGUUGCACGUCGACGGCGAUCGAUGAACAGACCAAAAGCGUGUGGAAGAGUCGGUAGCUCAUUAAAUGCAGCGGCCGAUUGGAAUCGUGGCGAGAAUCCACGUGAACUGAUGGGAAGGAGUGAAAGCCGCCGUCAUCUUCUCAUGCACAUCCCACCGCCACCGACGGAUGAUAAAGGCAGGUUGCUGCCGAAUGCGAGCGAGCAGCCGAGUGUCGCGGGGGUGCACAUUUACUGCUGCCGAAGAAGAUUACGGAUGCGAGAGGUCAUCCGUCUUAGCCUUUUGUCGAAGCUGUGCAGCAUUCUUAUGUUAUGGUUCGAGCAUCUUUGAAUAGUAAGUGUACUUCAUGCUUUGCGACGACGUCCGAAUUGGGCUGUGUCGUUUAAUUCGAGCAUCAGAGUAUGGCAAAACAGAUGCUCUUUGAACACAUUUUAUUAUAUGGGGUCAUGAAAGCCUUUUGACUUUGGC